GGCGGCGUGCUUAACACAUGCAAGUCGAACGCUGAAGCUCCCAGCUUGCUGGGGGUGGAUGAGUGGCGAACGGGUGAGUAACACGUGAGUAACCUGCCCAUCACUCUGGGAUAAGCGCUGGAAACGGCGUCUAAUACUGGAUACGAGCAACAGCCGCAUGGCCAGUUGCUGGAAAGACUGGUUCGGUGGUGGAUGGACUCGCGGCCUAUCAGCUUGUUGGUGAGGUAAUGGCUCACCAAGGCGACGACGGGUAGCCGGCCUGAGAGGGUGACCGGCCACACUGGGACUGAGACACGGCCCAGACUCCUACGGGAGGCAGCAGUGGGGAAUAUUGCACAAUGGGCGCAAGCCUGAUGCAGCAACGCCGCGUGAGGGAUGACGGCCUUCGGGUUGUAAACCUCUUUUAGUAGGGAAGAAGCCUUCGGGUGACGGUACCUGCAGAAAAAGCACCGGCUAACUACGUGCCAGCAGCCGCGGUAAUACGUAGGGUGCAAGCGUUGUCCGGAAUUAUUGGGCGUAAAGAGCUCGUAGGCGGCUUGUCGCGUCUGCUGUGAAAACCCGAGGCUCAACCUCGGGCCUGCAGUGGGUACGGGCAGGCUAGAGUGCGGUAGGGGAGAUUGGAAUUCCUGGUGUAGCGGUGGAAUGCGCAGAUAUCAGGAGGAACACCGAUGGCGAAGGCAGAUCUCUGGGCCGUAACUGACGCUGAGGAGCGAAAGCAUGGGGAGCGAACAGGAUUAGAUACCCUGGUAGUCCAUGCCGUAAACGUUGGGAACUAGAUGUAGGGCCUGUUCCACGGGUUCUGUGUCGUAGCUAACGCA
rnacentral:rRNA from 1 species